GAUGAACGCUGGCGGCGUGCCUAAUACAUGCAAGUCGAGCGAACGGACGAGAAGCUUGCUUCUCUGAUGUUAGCGGCGGACGGGUGAGUAACACGUGGAUAACCUACCUAUAAGACUGGGAUAACUUCGGGAAACCGGAGCUAAUACCGGAUAAUAUUUUGAACCGCAUGGUUCAAAAGUGAAAGACGGUCUUGCUGUCACUUAUAGAUGGAUCCGCGCUGCAUUAGCUAGUUGGUAAGGUAACGGCUUACCAAGGCAACGAUGCAUAGCCGUCCUGAGAGGGUGAUCGGCCACACUGGAACUGAGACACGGUCCAGACUCCUACGGGAGGCAGCAGUAGGGAAUCUUCCGCAAUGGGCGAAAGCCUGACGGAGCAACGCCGCGUGAGUGAUGAAGGUCUUCGGAUCGUAAAACUCUGUUAUUAGGGAAGAACAUAUGUGUAAGUAACUGUGCACAUCUUGACGGUACCUAAUCAGAAAGCCACGGCUAACUACGUGCCAGCAGCCGCGGUAAUACGUAGGUGGCAAGCGUUAUCCGGAAUUAUUGGGCGUAAAGCGCGCGUAGGCGGUUUUUUAAGUCUGAUGUGAAAGCCCACGGCUCAACCGUGGAGGGUCAUUGGAAACUGGAAAACUUGAGUGCAGAAGAGGAAAGUGGAAUUCCAUGUGUAGCGGUGAAAUGCGCAGAGAUAUGGAGGAACACCAGUGGCGAAGGCGACUUUCUGGUCUGUAACUGACGCUGAUGUGCGAAAGCGUGGGGAUCAAACAGGAUUAGAUACCCUGGUAGUCCACGCCGUAAACGAUGAGUGCUAAGUGUUAGGGGGUUUCCGCCCCUUAGUGCUGCAGCUAACGCAUUAAGCACUCCGCCUGGGGAGUACGACCGCAAGGUUGAAACUCAAAGGAAUUGACGGGGACCCGCACAAGCGGUGGAGCAUGUGGUUUAAUUCGAAGCAACGCGAAGAACCUUACCAAAUCUUGACAUCCUUUGACAACUCUAGAGAUAGAGCUUUCCCCUUCGGGGGACAAAGUGACAGGUGGUGCAUGGUUGUCGUCAGCUCGUGUCGUGAGAUGUUGGGUUAAGUCCCGCAACGAGCGCAACCCUUAAGCUUAGUUGCCAUCAUUAAGUUGGGCACUCUAAGUUGACUGCCGGUGACAAACCGGAGGAAGGUGGGGAUGACGUCAAAUCAUCAUGCCCCUUAUGAUUUGGGCUACACACGUGCUACAAUGGACAAUACAAAGGGCAGCGAAACCGUGAGGUCAAGCAAAUCCCAUAAAGUUGUUCUCAGUUCGGAUUGUAGUCUGCAACUCGACUACAUGAAGCUGGAAUCGCUAGUAAUCGUAGAUCAGCAUGCUACGGUGAAUACGUUCCCGGGUCU
rnacentral:rRNA from 1 species